UGUAGACGGAGCUCUGAGGAUUCACUCUCACAGUCGCUUUGGGUUUUGCUGUUGGUAUGAAAUGAUGGAGGAGUCAGAGCUGCUUUUCACUUUACAACAUAAGCAAUAAGUUCACUGUGUCUAACAGAUGCGUAGUGUUUAAAAAAUGUUAGAGUUGUAUAUUUUCUUACUUGUUAUUCUGUAUACUUUCUGUGUAAAAAAAAUUAAUGAUUGGAUUAAAGUGUAGAAACACUGUAUUUGCUGAUUUUUAGAUUGUUAUCUUAUGGAUCCUGCACAGAUCAUCUAAACAUAUCUGCAUUUAAAAAAUAAGCAUAAUCAUGACUUCAUACAGUUGAGCCAUGACAGAGGACUUUUCUUAAAAAUCUUCAGGCAUUGUAUAGCUGAGAAACAUUAAUUAGCAUUUUCAGUUUAGUCCAAACAUCAAAAUGACAGGAUAAGUCUGGCUUUUUAGUGAUGAGUAAAAUUAAAUCAAUUCAGAUAUUUGAAAUUAUAUAUGUAAUGAACUUCCCAUAGCACCAGAUGUAGAGUCCAUUUACACAUUUAUUAAACAAUACACAGCGUAUACAAUCCAAAGCCAUUUGCAAAAAGUCAUUAUCACAAUAGACAGGCAAAAGUUUAUAAACCAGUAGGGCAGUCAGCAUGGAAGAUGAUCCAAAUCAAUGAGCAAAAAAUAGGUUGGUAAACAGGCAAAAACUGUCAAGCCAGGUAAUGUGGCAAACAAUCCAGAAAUCACAAGCCAAGUAGCAAGAAUAAACUAAAAAAGCAGAACAAUGGUCAUAUGCAGGUAUACUUACAAGGAAAACAAUAAACGGCUUGGUAUACAGAGAACUGUUAAUACUUUGUACUGGUGUGCAUGCAGUUUAAAUGUCUGAUAACUCUUUACUCAGGAGAGGGCUCCCUCUUCUGUGGUGAUGGUGGAAUGGCCAUCCUCUAGGUCUCAGUGCAGGGCAAGCUGGGUGAGCUCAGUGGAAAUCUGAGAUAAGAGAACGGUCUAUGAUCUGGGUCUGUCUAGGCUGUCCCAGACUAUCAGGCAUCGAAAUUGGCCCCCUCUCCUGAAUGAUGUCUAGGAUGUCGUGGAGCAGGAACCAUGGCUCUUCCUUGGUGCAGUGCUUCCUACACGGGUGUCGUGCUCCUUGGGAGGUGGUUGUGAGUGCACUGGCAUUAUGCUGGGGAGGCAGCAUUAGAGCCGGAGAAGCAAGGAAGCUGAACACACUGAUAAAGAAGACUGGCUCUGUACUGGGAUGCUCCC